rnacentral:rRNA from 1 species
UACGUAGGGGGCAAGCGUUGUCCGGAAUCAUUGGGCGUAAAGAGCGCGCAGGCGGUCGUUCAAGUCGGGUGUGAAAGCCCCCGGCUCAACUGGGGAGGGUCACUCGAUACUGAUCGACUUGAAGGCAGGAGAGGGAAGCGGAAUUCCCGGUGUAGUGGUGAAAUGCGUAGAUAUCGGGAGGAACACCAGUGGCGAAGGCGGCUUCCUGGCCUGUUCUUGACGCUGAGGCGCGAAAGCUAGGGGAGCAAACGGG